GCUUACGGCCAUUCCAGCCAAAGAACGCCCGGUCUCGUCUGAUCUCGGAAGCUAAGAAGGCUUGGGCCUGGUUAGUACUUGGAUGGCAGACCUCCUGGGAAUACCAGGUGCUGUAAGAU
ensembl:rRNA 5S_rRNA 5S ribosomal RNA